rnacentral:lncRNA from 1 species
GGUUCAUCUCUAACAAGUAUUUAGUGAAACGACAGAGCAGAGACUAUGAUGUGGAAUGGGGCUAUGCUUUUGAUGUGCAUCUCAAUGCUUUUUAUCCACUCCUGGUCAUUUUGCAUUUUAUCCAGCUUUUUUUCAUCAACCAUGUUAUCCUGACAGACACAUUUAUUGGAUAUUUAGUUGGAAAUACCUUAUGGUUGGUUGCAGUUGGCUAUUAUAUCUAUGUAACUUUCCUGGGAUACAGUGUUUGGAUUCCUUUCUUUUCCAGCAUUGCCAUUUUUGAAAAAUACAGUAAUUCUUCUGUAUCCAUUUGCACCUCUGAUUCUGCUCUACGGGCUUUCCCUGGCACUGGGAUGGAACUUCACCCAUACUCUCUGUUCUUUCUAUAAGUACAGAGUGAAAUAAAAAGUGAGAAGAAGAUUCAAUCGUAACUGUGUCAACAGUAUUGUGAAGUGAUCAUUUCUUGUAAAACUUGUAAAUAAACUAUCAUCUUUGUAGAUAUCUUAAAGGUGUAAAGUUUGCAAAUUUGAAGAAAUAUAUAUUAACACUGUGGUCAGGUACAUUCCUUAAAACUAAUUAAAUGUACAUUUCUAUAAUAAAUAUUUUUUAAACUAAA